rnacentral:rRNA from 1 species
GGAGUUAGCCGGUGCUUCUUCUGUGAGUGAUGUCCUUCCUGCCGGCUAUUAACCCGCAGGCCUUCUUCCUCACUGAAAGUGCUUUACAACCCGAAGGCCUUCUUCACACACGCGGCAUGGCUGGAUCAGGGUUGCCCCCAUUGUCCAAUAUUCCCCACUGCUGCCUCCCGUAGGAGUCUGGGCCGUGUCUCAGUCCCAGUGUGGCUGAUCAUCCUCUCAGACCAGCUACGGAUCGUCGCCUUGGUGAGCCGUUACCUCACCAACCAGCUAAUCCGACAUAGGCUCAUCCGAUAGCGCGAGGCCCGAAGGUCCCCCGCUUUCCCCCGUAGGGCGUAUGCGGUAUUAGCCUGGGUUUCCCCCAGGUUAUCCCCCACUACCGGGCAGAUUCCUAUGCAUUACUCACCCGUCCGCCGCUCGCCACCAGGGAGCAAGCUCCCCGUGCUGCCGCUCGACUUGCAUGUGUUAGGCCUGCCGCCAGCGUUCAAUCUGAGCCAGAAUCGAAACCUCUAGA